rnacentral:rRNA from 1 species
AUAUUUAAAUAGCCGCGAUUUCCGUGCUAAGGUAGCAUAAUAACUUGCCUGCUAAUUACAGGAUAGAAUGAAAGGUUCAACAUGAAACUAACUUUAUUAAAUAGACUUAUUAAAAUUUACUUGAAAGUAAAAAGGCUUUCAUAAAAAGAGGGACGACAAGACCCUAUCGAACUUAACUCUAGUUUAGCUGGGGCGGCAAUAAAACUUUAUCUUUUCAUCUUUUUAUCUAAAAUCCUUAUAUUAAGAUAAACAAAGUUACCGUAGGGAUAACAGCAUAAUUUUUUCCAAGAGACCUUAUCAAAGAAAAAGAUUAUGACCUCGAUGUUGAAUUAAAAAUCUUUUUGAAGAAAAAAUCAAAAACAGAAAGUCUGUUCGACUUUUAAUAAUUUACGUGAUCUGAGUUCA